rnacentral:tRNA from 1 species
GAAAAUCCGUCGAAUUUUAAAUCNUGGUUCAAGUCCCUCUAUCCCCA